CAUCGUUGUCAUCGUCGUGAACUUCGUCAGCAGCAAAAAGUUUUGUUUUUAUCUUGUGCUAGUGUUAAAAAAGUAAUAAGUUUUGCGUAUUUUUCGGUGUAAAACGGUCGCCAAAUUGAAAUUCAUCGUACCGUCGGAUGCAUCGUUUGAAAUGAUCAAAAGCGAUUGAGUAAAAACAUUCGAAACCCGAAACGUUUUGCGAAAAUCGACACCGGAUGAUAUCGUACAGGCGGUUCUAGAGACGUUUCCACUAUCUACUGCGUUUGAUGGUUGUUUGAUUGAAAUGGAUUUUGCUGCUAUGUUCCCUGAGCAGACAUGUCCCAUGGAAAAAUGGAAUGCGAUGGAGGAAACAAUUCUCGAGAAAUUCAAACAUCUUUACCCAACCGUUGGCAAUAAGUUCAUCCGGUCGCUGCUCGUAAUCAAGGACAGAAAUCCCUCACGAGGCGCAAAACGGGCAAUCAAAGGUCCACAAAAAAUCUCGAACAUGCUUGAAAGAAUCGUCGAGUGGAUAAAUGUUGAGGAUGAUAUCGAGCAGUUCGCAGCUUCAUACCGAGGCACCAGGAAUCCCAUCAUGGUUAUCAAGGCCCCAUUAUACACGGCAGGGGAGACAUACAUCCGAGUCGGAAAACAAUGUUUUGGAACAGGGUCCGAAAUCGAACGAGGUUUUUUCACAAUGAUUAUGACACAUUUCUACUUCAACUGUAAAUUUGAACCGUCGCUUUCAAAUUUUUAUUCGUUUUUUACGGCAUCGAUUAUGAAUGUAUCGAAACCAUCGACUACAGUAACCGCUUUUUUGCUUCAACUGAAGUGAAGCGCUCAGAAUUUUAAAAUGUUCACGCAUUGUUUAUUGUUUUUACCAAGGUUUAUACUCAAUAAAAAGUUGUAUAUGUUGAAUAAUUAAAGGUGCAAUUUCAAUAUGCAAGUUCUAAAUACAAUGAUAUUUAUAAUGUAUUCGUGGUUUGCACGUUGUAAUUGCAUUUUUAUAAUCCUUUAUUUUACAAGAAACAUCUCGGAUUCUAAAGAUAUUCAUCAUAAAGGCCUCUGUGUAUUGCUAGUCGGCCUUUAUGGUGAUUAUCUUUAAAUUCCGAGAUAAUUUUCCUCAAUCAGAUGUUUUAAUUCAGUUUUACUGAGCGCGAUCAGUAAAAAUACUUAAAUAAGCUGAAUAUACAGCAAUUCAUAUACACUUGAAGCUUGCUGGAACUCCAGCAAAAUAAAAUGGUGUUUGCUGAUUCACAGCAUUGCUGCUGUCAAAUAUUUGAAAUUGCGUUUUACUGGUCAACCAGCAAAUAUUGUUUUGCUGGAUUCAUUGCUGAAUUUACAGCAUGUCAAAAACCAGC